rnacentral:rRNA from 1 species
CGCGCAGGCGGUUUGGUAAGUCAGAUGUGAAAUUCACCGGCUCAACCGGUUGAACUGCAUCCGAUACUGCCAGACUUGAGAUCAGUAGAGGAGAGUGGAAUUCCCAGUGUAGCGGUGGAAUGCGUAGAUAUUGGGAAGAACACCGGUGGCGAAGGCGGCUCUCUGGACUGAUUCUGACGCUGAGGCGCGAAAGCUAGGGGAGCGAACA